UUCUGUAGUUCUGACUUAUAAAUGCCUUGCCAGCUUAAGUUAUACAUUUAUAAUUUAUAAUUAAGCAUUAAAUUUCAUUUAAGGUUCCUUAAAAAUGUUUUUGUUCCGCUUAAAAAAUCUUAUAAAGCCCAUUUCCAGCUGAUUUUUUAACUUAACAAACAUGAGAACCUACAGGUAAGCAUUGAAAAAGUUAGAAACUUUCAUAAUUUAAUAUUUUUUCUUUACAGUUUCCUGAUUCUGGCAAUUUUGGCAACAAUAAAACUGCAAGAAAUUCUAUCCAGUCAGCCAGGGCCAUGUCGCAAGUUGUCCCAAACCUUUAAUACAACCAAACUAAAAGGCAAAUUGAUACAUCGAUCGAUCUAUCUGGAUGUUUUUUCCACUAGAAAGCAUAAGAGUGUACCCCUAAAUUUAUGCACCCAAAUGGAUUUUCCGAAUCCAAAACAGAAAAAUGCUAAGAUUAUAGGCACCGAUGAUCAGAAUUUUGUGGUUCUGUAUGAGUGUCAUUACUAUCCGGUUACAAAAUCACACAGAGAGUUUGUUAACACUUACACUAGGUUGAGGACUCCCAAAGAAGAUACCCUAAAGAAAAUAAGCAAAGCCUUUACUGAUAAUGGUUUGUAUGAAAAGCAGGUCUUAUUGAUGUGCAGUUAAAGUGGAAAAGUGCUUGUAAUGGGUUAAAGAUUUUAUUAUAUUAUAUUCAUAGAUAUAUUUUAUUCAAAUUCAAUAAACGGAUGUGUAAUUUCUACCCAGGUCUUACGGUAAAAAUGAACUUUAAAUGCUUUUUAAACUUUUGUAAUUGUUAAUCAGGCGAAGAAAUUUCACAUUUGAUUUGGUGGAAAUUGUGUUUUUUCACUUAAUAAUAAAUAGUGCUAAUAAAAAACACAUUCUUGGCCAAAAAGUGAGAUAAUUUAAGCAGGAUUUUCCCGUAAACAAAGAGAAAUAUGUAAGAUGAAUUGAAAUACUGAUAUGGCGAUGUUUUAAUGCUUUACAAGUUUGCGGAUUUUAAUGAUUGCCUAAUGAUUGCCCCUCCCUGAAGCCUGUUGAAGGUUGAAGCAGAUAUUAGGUUGUCAAAAAAGUCUUGCGGGUGGCCCACGUAAAAUUUGCGUUCGCUAUAAAAAUAUCAAAUUUUCCCAAUUUUCUUCAAGCGUAAACUUAACCAUUUUGUAAACCGCAAACCUUCUACUAAAUAUCUAAGACAUUGACAAUGAUAUUUGGAAUAUCAAAGUCAAAAUUAUUGAUAGUUCAAAAAGCAAACGCUACAUGGGCCAACCUGUAUAACUUAAACUUAAACUAAGUGGAACAUCAAUAGCUCGUCUUUUAUUCUGCUAUUUCAGAACAAAAUGUUAGAAGGGACAAAGAUCUUAGUUUUAUGCACUCUCUCAGUUUUUCUACAAUCCACACUGAAAAGUGUUAAGGCAAUGCUUACGGAGAGCUUUCUGGUUCUGAACAAGUCUGAGUACGAGUUCAAUGCCUUGUUAGAAAACUAAGUUGCUUAGUAAUUUACCCUCAAUGAUAAACAGCUGCAACGUUAUAAUAUUUUCAGUUCAAAGUUGACUGACACUUGGAAGCAUUCACUAACCUGGCCAAGCUGUAGGCCUAAAAUGUUGUUACUUUGUCAAUAAAAUAGAAUGCCAGAAACUAAUUCUAUCAUCUCAUGUAAAAUAAACUAUAAAAAAUAAGCUCU